GAUCAUGCUCAGGACGAACGCUGGCGGCGCGCCUAACACAUGCAAGUCGAACGAGAGAGAGGGAGCUUGCUUCCUCAAUCGAGUGGCGAACGGGUGAGUAACGCGUGAGGAACCUGCCUCAAAGAGGGGGACAACAGUUGGAAACGACUGCUAAUACCGCAUAAGCCCACAGGUCGGCAUCGACCAGAGGGAAAAGGAGCAAUCCGCUUUGAGAUGGCCUCGCGUCCGAUUAG
rnacentral:rRNA from 1 species